CUUAGCUGAGAGCAAUGCCACACUCUAUCUUUGUAACAAGAUUCAUCUUCAUCUUGGAAGGAUUAACAAUUGAAGUAUUGACAAAUGUCAAACGGUUCUACAAAACGGAAACUGAUCUACGUAGGACUGGAACAGGAUUCAGUGUUUUGUCAAAAUUGUCUGUUAUAUUUACGUCCAGAAUUAAUUUUUAAUCCACAAGACAUAUCAAAACUUUUUUAUGUGUUUCAAACAGAUAUGUAAGAACAUCUUUGACUGCUUACUACAUAUUUUAGGGGACGAAAUUCCCUUAAAUCACUUAAAUCUCUAAAAUCGCCACUGAAUUUACAAAUCCUUCUUCAACUGGUAAGAAUUUUCCUACUGAAACAGCGUCAAUCUGACUGUAUUAAAACUGGAAACUGGAACGCAGGACUAUAAUUAAAAAGGUCGGACUAUAACAGCAAUUUUUUAACCUUGCUAUAUUGCAAUAAACUAGACUGUAAAUGGU